UAAAGCCGCUCAAUGUUCCUAAAGGGAGAA
rnacentral:piRNA from 1 species